GGGUCCGUACCGCGACUGUGAGUCCGCGGAAGACGUCAAGAGAUAUAAGCCGUUGAUUAGGCGGCGGCGGUGGUGGCGUCUCCUCUACGUCGUUGGAUGAUGAGGAAGGUGUGGUCUCUUGUUCUUGUCCAUUAUUAGGUGAAGUACUAUGGAGGAGAAGGGGUUGCCGUUGUUCAUCUUCUGUCACUGUGAUCAGCGUUGCCAUUUCUCUCUUUUGACUGGUAUGGUUUCUCUUUCGUGUUUUGUUUUCACUCGAUGACGCGAACAACUACUGUUUCAAGCAGCACCCUG
rnacentral:misc_RNA from 1 species